rnacentral:lncRNA from 1 species
GGGUGCCUCUGCCGCCGCCGCCGCGCCGUUCCCAAUUCUACGUUGUAUUCAUUCAUCGUAUUGGUGCUUUGCUUCUGAAGCUCGCGAACGCCGGCCUCGUGCCGGCCGCCGCGGCAUCUCCGCGGCGGCCAUUUGCUCGUUCACUUCUUUUGUCCUCGAGUUUCGGCUUCGCUGUGGUUUUUAGUUGAGUUACCAAGUUAUUGCCUCCUUGAAUUUGGAUGUCUGCUGAAAAAAGUUACCUCCUUCAGUUGCAUGUUUAAUUUCCAUCUAAUGUUCCGGAUUGCUCUCUGUUCUGCAGGUGCCCUGUUCGUGACGUGUUUUUUGGCUGUGCCUGUUUGCAAUCUGCAGAGGAGAAGACACUGUGAGAUUUGAGUACUUUCUAUCUACGGUAGAUGUUUUAUGGCAUACGCCCAACAUUGUGUCCUCAUAUUACUCUCCAUGUUUUUUUGUUUUAUUAGCUUACGGUGUCCUCAAAUCGGUGCAACUGUGCUGCUGGGUGUCGUCUUUUCUGCUGGCUUACUCUUUUCUGAGCAGGUGAGUUCCUAUUUCCUAUAUGUGAUCCAUCGAUUUAUUUUUUGCUGUGCAAUAUAUUUGGUUUAUCUGAAUUCAUGCAUUUGAUAUAGUUAAUGUUCCCUGGAAUUUUGCUACUGCUGUUCUUGGUAAUUAUAUUUUAAAACAAUAAAUUGUAAUACAAUACAAAGCAAUGCUUUCUGGAAAUUUUGCUACUAUUGUUCUUGGUGUUGAUAUUAAAAAAAUAGCUAUAUUAAUCUUAGGUUCCAUUGUGAUCUGCCGAAGUAGCCACGUUGCCCUGAUAUUUUAAAAAAAUACAGCAAAAUUAAAUACAAAGGCGCACUAAUGCUUGCGUUAUUACUUAACACAUUUUAAAAGAAAAUGCCUUUCCUGAUAGUAGCGCCUAAACAUUUUUUUACAACCUAAACUAAAAUAAAAAGCCGCACUGAUGCUUGUGUUAUUAAUUAACACAUUUUUAAAGAAAAUGACUUUCCUGAUGCUAGCGUCCAAGUUUUUCUUUACAGCCUGUGUUUUACUCUUCAUGGAUGAAGGUGCUCGAUCAGGUGUGCCUUAUCAAUGUACGACCUGACAAUAUGCCCCAAACAAUGUGCUCUUUCUCCUAUGCUCUGUCAAAAUUAUUGUAAACAUCGUAUCAUAUUCUUUUGUCCUCCCUUAUUUAUCCUACCUAAUAAUAUCAUGAUAGAUGGUUUCCAUCGUCAUACCAUUUCAUCCCCUGAGGCCACUGCACGUCGUCUUGCGCGUAGACGACGUUUGCAUCCAUAUACUACGAUAUUCUCAGGUAUCCAUAUCGUGUGGCCAUUGCUAUGCUCUCAUAUUCAGGUGAUCUUAGUCACGGAUGGUUAUCAUGUCUGCUGGUUCUUCCUUUUAGGACAAACAGAGAGGUCUCAGUUAGACGCUGCUUUACCUAUGCAAGCAGUAAACACCUGUAUCCUGUUGUUCUUCCGGUCUCUACACAGGCCUAUUAGGCUUUGUUGCGUGCUGCUGGAGGUAUACUUAUAUGCUUGUGUCCUUGGUAGGUUGAAGAUCCAUUUAUCUGAUAUGGUUUUCCAUAUUCUCUUUUCUAUUGCUUAAGUUACUCCUGAUCGUCAUGUUGCAUCUAAUCUACAAGCAACACGAUCUCGAAAGAUACGGAUAAAGAAGUUGGAUCAGCGUGCUUUAGCUCAAACAGGUUCUAUGUUGUCCAAAGCAUCCUCUUAUUCUAUGCUCUGUUUGUCUUGUCUACUCCUUUUCACAUGCUCCCAUCGAUGCCUACGCAGGAAGGCUUAGUCUGCAAACCAGAACCUCUGUCUGUGGUCAUUUUGAUGAAUCCUUCGUCGAUGCUCUCAAAGGUGUACCCUUCUGUUUUAUAUAUAUAGCCUCCUGCAUAUAAAAGUUCCUUAUACAUACAGCCUAUGUACGACCCUAAAAAAACUUUAUUUUCUUAUUGCUAGCAUCACAUCCAGGAAGAUAUGGCCCACCAGAUCUUCGUUGUUUCUCACUGUAAUGCAGUCUUUUGGUUCCAUGAAAGGGUUCGUCGUGCUUUUCCACACUAUGGAAACCAAGCCAUCUAUAAUAGCUGUUGUAAAGCUAGUAGAGUUGUUAUACCUCCGUUCAAGCCUCGUCCAGAGCCUUUGGCUCCAUUGGCUAGGUAUGAUGGAGAUGCGCGAUGCAAUAAAUUUAUGAAAACAUAAGGCAGUAUAACUGUCUCUUUGCUUUUACUUCGAUGGGAGCAAAUAUAGACCGCUCAAUGAAUGAUGGUCGUGGUCCUCCUGUGUUUAAAAUCUGCGGUCAACCUAUAUUAAUCCAUUACUGCACCAACCAAACAGGCUAGGUAACUUCACAAUGUACAGAAACGCGGCAAUUCAACUCUAACACAUAAAUUACAUAUUUGCUAACAUUUUUUUCCCAAACAUAAAAACAGGUUUCAUGGAGCAAUGCUACAGCCCAAAGCUGGACGAUGAGGCAACAUCGGCAGAUCCAGAUGCAGGUAUAAUAAAAAUAUUUAAAGAUCAUUUACCAAACCUUAGUAAUAUAUACAUCAAAAUCUUUCAAAAUUCCAACACAAAAUAGUAAGAAAAGUUUAUGUCUUCACAGAAAUUGAGAGGUUCUCUCCGGUACGCAAUUCCAGUGAGCACGAAUGUGGGUACGAAUCUGAUCGAAGUAUGAAUUACUGAUCAGAAGAUGCAGACACCGAUAUAAAUACCCCCAACAACUCAGCUUACUAAUCUCAUGCAAUGUCCUAUGUUAGUGUUGUCUACAACUUUUGUAAAUUAGAGACAAUCUGUGAUGCUUGACUCUCAAUUCUCUAUAUCACUCUAUUACCAAUCUGGCAGCUACUAAAAAUUAUCAUCAGCUCAUGUAAUUAAUCUGCGG